GUGCACGCUGGCGGUAGGCCUAACACAUGCAGGUCGAACGGCAGCACCGUAAGAGCUUGCUCUUACGGGUGGCGAGUGGCGGACGGGUGAGGAAUACAUCGGAAUCUACUUUUUCGUGGGGGAUAACGUAGGGAAACUUACGCUAAUACCGCAUACGACCUACGGGUGAAAGCAGGGGAUCUUCGGACCUUGCGCGAUUGAAUGAGCCGAUGUCGGAUUAGCUAGUUGGCGGGGUAAAGACCCACCAAGGCGACGAUCCGUAGCUGAUCUGAGAGGAUGAUCAGCCACACUGGAACUGAGACACGGUCCAGACUCCUACGGGAGGCAGCAGUGGGGAAUAUUGGACAAUGGGCGCAAGCCUGAUCCAGCCAUACCGCGUGGGUGAAGAAGGCCUUCGGGUUGUAAAGCCCUUUUGUUGGGAAAGAAAAGCAGCAGGUUAAUACCCCGCUGUUCUGACGGUACCCAAAGAAUAAGCACCGGCUAACUUCGUG
rnacentral:rRNA from 1 species